rnacentral:tRNA from 1 species
GGCGUAGCUCAGUUGGUAGAGCGCCGGAUUGUGAUUCCGGUUGUCGUGGGUUCGAUUCCCAUCGUC